rnacentral:rRNA from 1 species
GACGGAGGAUGCAAGUGUUAUCCGGAAUCACUGGGCGUAAAGCGUCUGUAGGUGGUUUAAAAAGUCUACUGUUAAAAAUUGAAGCUUAACUUCAAAGAUGCCGUAGAAACUUUUAAACUCGAGGAUGGUAGGGGUAGAGGGAAUUUCCAGUGGAGCGGUGAAAUGCGUAGAUCUUGGAAAGACCACCAAUGGCGAAGGCACUCUACUGGGCCAUUACUGACACUAAGAGACGAAGGCUAGGGGAGCAAAUGGG